rnacentral:rRNA from 1 species
GCCUGGAAACGGGUCUGGCAACUUGGUGAUUCACAAUAACUACUCGAAUCGCAUGCCUCGAGCCGGCGAUGAUACAUACAAGUCUCUGCCCUAUCAACUUUCGAUGGUAGGAUAUUGGCCUACCAUGGUUGUAACGGGUAACAGGGAAUUAGGGUUCGAUUCUGGAGAGGCAGCCUGAGAAACGGCUACCACUUCCAAGGAAGGCAGCAGGCGCGCAACUUACCCAAUCCCGACACGGGGAGGUAGUGACAAGAAAUACCAUUAGAGGUGCUUAUUGCAUUCUCUAGUUGGAAUGAGAACAAUUUAAAAACCUUAACGAGGAACAAUUGGAGGGCAAGUCUGGUGCCAGCAGCCGCGGUAAUUCCAGCUCCAAUAGCGUAUAUUAAAUUUGUUGCAGUUAAAAAGCUCGUAGUUGGAUUUCGGAGUGUGAGAGGGUGUUGGUCCGGCGAAAUGCUGUGAUCUGCUCUUCACCUCCUACCUUUCAAACGCACGCCCAUAGCCUUAACUGGUUGUGGAGUCGGGCUUUGGAUCGUUUACUUUGAAAAAAUUAGAGUGUUUAAAGCAGGCGUAACCAGCCUCUGAAUACCGCAGCAUGGGAUAAUAAAAUAGGACUUUGGGCCUAUUUUGUUGGUUUUUAGGUCUGAAGUAAUGAUUAAAAGGGAUAGUUGGGGGUAUUAGUAUUUAGUUGUCAGAGGUGAAAUUCUAAGAUUUACUAAAGACUAACUACUGCGAAAGCAUUUACCAAGGAUGUUUUCAUUAAUCAAGAACGAAAGUUGGGGGAUCGAAGAUGAUCAGAUACCGUCGUAGUCCUAACCUUAAACUAUGCCGACCAGGGAUUCGGAGAAGUUAAAUGGAUGACUCUCCGGGCACCUUGUGAGAAAUCAUAAGUAUUUGGGUUCCGGGGGGAGUAUGGUCGCAAGGCUGAAACUUAAAGGAAUUGACGGAAGGGCACCACCAGGAGUGGAACCUGCGGCUUAAUUUGACCCAACACGGGAAAACUCACCAGGUCCAGACACAGGAAGGAUUGACAGAUUGAUAGCUCUUUCUUGAUUCUGUGGGUGGUGGUGCAUGGCCGUUUCUAGUUGGUGGAGCGAUUUGUCUGGUUAAUUCCGUUAACGAACGAGACCUUAACCUAUUAAAUAGUCGUGCGAAGUGUGCCGAUUUAUCGGUAACUGCUUUGCAAGAGACUUCUUAGAGGGACUAUUCGAACCUAAGCGAAUGGAAGUUUGAGGCCAAAACAGGUCUGUGAUGCCCUUCGAUGUCCUGGGCUGCACGCGCGUUACACUGAUGCAUUCAACGAGUUUUUUCCUUGCCCGGUAGGGUUGGGUAAACUUUUCAAAGUGCAUCGUGCUGGGGAUAGAUGUUUGUAAUUAUCCAUCUUGAACGAGGAAUUCCUAGUAAGUGCAUGUCAUCAACAUGCGCUGAUUACGUCCCUGCCCUUUGUACACACCGCCCGUCGCUCCUACCGAUUGGAUGGUCCGGCAAGAACUUCGGAUGCCUUGGAUCUCGGUGGAUGUAAUAGUCCGCUGAACCAUUGGCAGAAGUUGUUCGAGCCUUAUCAUUUAGAGGAAGGAGAAGUCGUAACAAGGUU